rnacentral:rRNA from 1 species
GGUUAAGUUACAAAGGGCGCACGGUGGAUGCCUUGGCACUAGGAGCCGAUGAAGGACGGAACUAAUACCGAUAUGCUUCGGGGAGCUAUAAGUAAGCUUUGAUCCGGAGAUUUCCGAAUGGGGGAACCCAGUACACAUCAGUGUAUUGCCUGCAAGUGAAUACAUAGCUUGUUGGCGGCAGACGCGGGGAACUGAAACAUCUCAGUACCCGCAGGAAGAGAAAGAAAACUCGAUUCCCAUAGUAGCGGCGAGCGAAGUGGGAAGAGCCCAAACCGAGAAGCUUGCUUCUCGGGGUUGUAGGACUGGACAUUGGAGUUACCAAAGUUCGACGUAGUCGAAGUCAGCUGGAAAGCUGCGCCAUAGAAGGUGAAAGCCCUGUAAACGAAACGGCGGACUCUCCGUCCAGGAUCCUGAGUACGGCGGAACACGUGAAAUUCCGUCGGAAUCCGGGAGGACCAUCUCCCAAGGCUAAAUACUCCCUAGUGACCGAUAGUGAACCAGUACCGUGAGGGAAAGGUGAAAAGCACCCCGGAAGGGGAGUGAAACAGUUCCUGAAACCGUGUGCCUACAAUUAGUCAAAGCCCGUUAACGGGUAAUGGCGUGC